AUAUUAGAAAUGGACGAAAGUCUGAUCUAGCAACACCGCGUGUGCGAAGAAGGCCUUCGGGUUGUAAAGCACUUUUUGGAAGGAUUAGGAAGGAAUGUACUUCCAGAAUAAGUCUCGGCUAACUACGUGCCAGCAGCCGCGGUAACACGUAGGAGGCAAACGUUAUCCGGAUUUACUGGGCGUAAAGCGCGUGUAGGUGGUUCUGUAAGUAGGGCGUGAAAGCUCCUGGCUCAACUGGGAGAGGCCGUUCUAAACUGCAGAGCUAGAGGAUGGUAGAGGGAGGUGGAAAUCCGGGUGUAGCGGUGGAAUGCGCAGAUAUCCGGAGGAACACCAGUGGCGAAAGCGGCCUCCUGGACCAUUCCUGACACUCAGACGCGAAAGCUAGGGUAGCAAACGG
rnacentral:rRNA from 1 species